AAGCCCAUUUCCAAGACUCCAACCUAUCCCUUCCUCAGCCGUCAACCAGCAGCACGCCAGCAGCCAGCAGCGCCUCCGCACUCCACGUUCCCUCACCGUGCGCUAGUUCCGAAGAGCUCAAGGUGGAGCUUGUCAGAGCCACCGUAGGGUGCCUACACGCCGGCGUGGUGCACGACAUCCGCUCAUCCAUCUUGCUCGCUCAUGCGGUCCUGUCGGUCGCUAGAGGUCUAGAUCUGGAUGACGUGAUGCUAUUUGGAGAGCUUUAAAGCGUGGCUGUGACUGAGGGUACUAUGCAGAUCUCACUGGAGGCCACGAUGAUUGCUCGCCCCUUUCUUUUUAUGUGUUGAAUGUGUUCGAAUUUCUUGUUGGAUAUUUGUUUUCUUGUUGUCAUAUACCUUCAUCUAUAUUACCCGUGUUUGGAUGGAGCACAGGUGAUGGGCACCAACUCUUUUUUAAGAUUCUAUAUUUGUUCUUUGUUUUCUGU